rnacentral:rRNA from 1 species
GGGGGCCCGCACAAGCGGCGGAGCAUGCGGAUUAAUUCGAUGCAACGCGAAGAACCUUACCAAGGCUUGACAUGGACCGGACCGGGCUGGAAACAGUCCUUCCCCUUUGGGGCCGGUUCACAGGUGGUGCAUGGUUGUCGUCAGCUCGUGUCGUGAGAUGUUGGGUUAAGUCCCGCAACGAGCGCAACCCUCGUUCCAUGUUGCCAGCGCGUAAUGGCGGGGACUCAUGGGAGACUGCCGGGGUCAACUCGGAGGAAGGUGGGGACGACGUCAAAUCAUCAUGCCCCUUAUGUCUUGGGCUUCACGCAUGCUACAAUGGCCGGUACAAAGGGUUGCGAUACUGUGAGGUGGAGCUAAUCCCAAAAAGCCGGUCUCAGUUCGGAUUGGGGUCUGCAACUCGACCCCAUGAAGUCGGAGUCGCUAGUAAUCGCAGAUCAGCAACGCUGCGGUGAAUACGUUCCCGGGCCUUGUACACACCGCCCGCCAAGUCACGAAAGUUAGUAACACCCGAAGCCGGUGGCCUAACCCCUUGUGGAGGGAGCUGUCGAAGGUGGGACUGGCGAUUGGGACUAAGUCGUAACAAGGUAACCGUAAGGGC